GUCGGUGGGGUAACCGCAAGGAGCCAGCCGCCGAAGGUGGGGUAGAUGAUUGGGGUGAAGUCGUAACAAGGUAGCCGUAUCGGAAGGUGCGGCUGGAUCACCUCCUUUCUAAGGAG
rnacentral:rRNA from 1 species